CCCUUAGAUGUCCGGGGCUGCACGCGCGCUACACUGAAGGAAUCAGCGUGCUAAAACCAUUGUCGAAAGGCAUUGGUAAACCCAUUAAAAUCCUACGUGAUUGGGAUCGGGAGUUGCAAUUAUUUCCCUUGAACGAGGAAUUCCCAGUAAGUGUGGGUCAUAAGCUCGCGUUGAUUACGUCCCUGCCCUUUGUACACACCGCCCGUCGCUGCCCGGGACUGAGCCGUUUCGAGAAAAGCGGGGACUGCUGCUGUCGGGGCUUUCGGGCCUUGGCUUCGGUGGAAACCGCUUUAAUCGCAGUGGCUUGAACCGGGCAAAAGUCGUAACA
rnacentral:rRNA from 1 species